rnacentral:lncRNA from 1 species
GCCAGCUCUCGCCCACCUCAUCGUUGGCACGAAGAAGCCCCGGGUCCCUCUUAAAGGCCAGCUCGCAUCCGUCUUUGCUGUCCUUCUGGAUCCUUCCUGCCCGUGCUUCUUCAUCGAGGACCUCGGGGAACCUAGGUGGCCUUGCUGGGUGCCACCUCGCAGUGCCAGCCGAAUGCUAGCCGUGACACGGUCCCCGUACUGUGGUUCCUGAGCGUCCCGUUCGUAUCGCCUUCCCGUGGCAGUGAUGCGUCUGUUCUCCUGUGUCGUGGCGUAGGCGUUUUGUCAGCUCUGCAAACUACUUUUUUAUGGUCAUCUCUGCCGUGUCCAGACUCUCCCUGCACCACGUGGCCCAGAACAAAGGGAUCAGGCCCUUUCCCUCGGAGGAGACCGCAGAAAACGACGAUGAUGUCUAUCGCAGCCUGGAGGAGCUGGCCGAGUAAGGAACCGGCAGGGAGGGGUGGGUCAGGGCCAGGGAAGUCUCG